UGGCUGGGCCUUUGUCUCUCGCUCCCACCAGAGCUUGGAAUCCGUCUCUGCUCUUCUGCAUUCUCCACCUCGGGAGCCCCUGGGGACUCUGUGACGGCCUCUGUUGCCCUGUGAUCUGCAGGUCCGGAGAGACGCACAGCUAAGAUGUCAGGACAUCCUGGAAGCUGGGAAAGGGUCUUGCCAUCUCUAAGCUGGACCUGGUGACCUUUUUGGAGGGAAAGAAAGAGCCCUGGACUGUGAAGAGUGAGGAGACCAUAGCUGCACAGCCAGUCCAGAUGUAUAAUCUCAUCCCUGAACAUUUCUGAUGGUGUGAUUAUGACAUGUGACUUUAUCUGGCAACAGAGUGAGUUGUUGCUCCCGCCUGAGCCCAGCCCCCAGAAAGGAUUGUGACAUAUCGUUGGACCCAGAAUUGAGGCUCUGCAUAUUUGGGUAUUGUGACAUAUUGCUGAACUCAACACCUAAGGGAUGGGAGUCUCCUACCUAGGCCCUUCCUACAGGGGACAUUGUGACAUGUCUCUGCAUUCCUCAUCCAGGAGAUGUGACUCUCCUUUUCUGCCUACACCCUGCCUACACAGAAAGUUGUGGCAUAUUGCUGUGGUCAGCAACCAGAUGAUAUAUUUCUCCUGCCUGGGUCUUUAUUACAGGAAAGAUGAUUGACAUAUUACUGGGCCCAGCAUCCAGAUGAUGUGACUCUCUUCUUCUGUUGGUCCUUGCUUACAGGGAAACUGUAGCAUAUUGCUACACCCAACACCUAGCUUAUGUGAUUCUUCUUUUAGGUUUGCCUUCAGGGAACAUUGUGACAUAUUGCUGGGCCCUGCACUGAUAAUUUGUGACUCUUCUGCCUGUGAUUUGCCCACUUGGGGCAUUGUGACAUAUUGCUGGGUUUAACACUCAGGUGAUGUAACUUUUAUGCCUAGGCCUUGCUUACAGGAGGCAUUUUGAAAUGUCUUUGUGGCUGGGCAUGGUGGCUCAUGUCUGUAAUCCCAGCGCUUGGGGAGGCCAAGGUGGGCAGAUCACAAAGUCAGGAGUUCGAGACCAGCCUGGUCAACAUGGUGAAAACCUGUCUCUACUAAAACAAAACAAAACAAAACAAAACAAAA
rnacentral:lncRNA from 1 species